AAAUUCUAGAUAGAAUUAUGAAAAUGACAUUAUCUAUCUAUGUGUCUUGACCAAAUUACGUGCCAGCAGUCGCGGUAAUACGUAAAAGACUAGUGUUAUUCAUCUUUAAUAGGUUUAAAGGGUACUUAGACGGUUAAUCAAGCCCGAAUAGGGAACUAAUAUACUAGAGUUUGAUGUAAGGAAGCAUGAAAGUACUGUUGGUGUAGAGAUAAAAUUCUAUCAUACCAAAUAUGGCACAGGUUUAGGCGAAAGCAUCUUCUUAUGUAAUAACUGACGUUGAAGGACGAAGGCUUUGUGUCUCGAACAGGAUUAGAUACCCCAGUAGUCUACGCAGCACAAUGAUGAAUGUCAUAGCUGAGAUUUAAUUUAUUCUAUAAAUGAAAGUGUAAGCAUUCCACCUCAAGAGUAAUUUGGCAACAUUGGAACUGAAAUCAUUAGACCGUUUCCAAAACCAGUAGUGAAGUAUGUUAUUUAAUUC
rnacentral:rRNA from 1 species